AGGACUCUGAAUCCUGCGACGGGAGUUCAAAUCUCCCCGGGACCU
rnacentral:tRNA from 1 species